GCCUCUCCCUCUUCCUCUGCUCCCGCGGGGUCUGUGCUGAGAAUAAUGGCCCGGUUGGCCCGGGACGAGUGGAAUGAUUAAUGAUGUUUUGCAGCAGUUUUCUACGUCUGAAAUUUUUUAUGUCUCUGGAACCCAGAAUUUGCUAAGAGAUGGAGGAACCUCAGAAAAGCUAUGUGAACACAAUGGACCUUGAGAGAGAUGAACCUCUCAAAAGCACCGGCCCUCAGAUUUCUGUUAGUGAAUUUUCUUGCCACUGCUGCUACGACAUCCUGGUUAACCCCACCACCUUGAACUGUGGGCACAGCUUCUGCCGUCACUGCCUUGCUUUAUGGUGGGCAUCUUCAAAGAAAACAGAAUGUCCAGAAUGCAGAGAAAAAUGGGAAGGUUUCCCCAAAGUCAGUAUUCUCCUCAGGGAUGCCAUUGAAAAGUUAUUUCCUGAUGCCAUUAGACUGAGAUUUGAAGACAUUCAGCAGAAUAAUGACAUAGUCCAAAGUCUUGCAGCCUUUCAGAAAUAUGGGAAUGAUCAGAUUCCUUUAGCUCCUAACACAGGCCGAGCGAAUCAGCAGAUGGGAGGGGGAUUCUUUUCCGGUGUGCUCACAGCUUUAACUGGAGUGGCAGUUGCUUUUAACUUUGACAGAGGAAGAAUUUUCCAAGACGCCCUAUACCAUAGAAAACAGCAGCCACAGGAGAGCCAUCCUCAUGGAGCUAGAACGUGUCAAAGCA
rnacentral:misc_RNA from 1 species